AUGGCACAGGAGACCAUUACUAAGGUGAGAGAAUGCUUUGACAAAUUGCCUGGCAGAUCGCUAACUGCAAAAAACAUCCGAGUUGCCAUCAGCCAUUACAGCAAACUUAAGAUUUUUCUGGAAGCUCCUUCCUUUUCCUCCUGCUCUUCUGGAGCAAGAAGCCAUUGGGUUCCCUCAAAGAUACUACCUUCCUCCAAGAACUGGCGAGACUAUUGGAGUGUAUGUACAAGUGUGUGCCCCUCUUCAGGCAGCAGAGACUAUAGGUAUGCGAAUACCUGUGUUUGGAUCUUAAGAAUGGCAACUUUUAUUCAAAGCAUGGGCUUAUGGGCUUUGUGUGCCUAUGUAUUGGUCAGAGGUUUCAGGAAAAGACAGGGUAUCUGGUACUAACAUAAUUCGUUUACACGCUCCUAG
rnacentral:lncRNA from 1 species